AAGAUUUCGGUUGGAACGGAAAAUGGAAAGCGGCAGACGGGUGAGUAACGCGUGAAUAAUCAACCCUGCACAAAGGGAUAGCCUCGGGAAACCGGGAUUAAAACCAUAUGAAGUAUAUUAAUCGAAUGAUAGAUAUAUUAAAACUUUGGUGGUGCAGGACGAGUUCGCGUCCCAUUAGCUAGUUGGUAAGAUAAAAGCCUACCAAGGCGACGAUGGGUAGCCGGCCUGAGAGGGUGAACGGCCACACUGGAACUGAGACACGGUCCAGACUCCUACGGGAGGCAGCAGUGGGGAAUAUUGCACAAUGGAGGAAACUCUGAUGCAGCGACGCCGCGUGAGCGAAGAAGGCCUUCGGGUCGUAAAGCUCUGUCCUAAGAGAAGAAGAAGUGACGGUAACUUAGGAGGAAGCCCCGGCUAACUACGUGCCAGCAGCCGCGGUAAUACGUAGGGGGCUAGCGUUGUCCGGAAUUACUGGGCGUAAAGGGUGAGUAGGUGGUCAU
rnacentral:rRNA from 1 species